rnacentral:sRNA from 1 species
GCCUGGUAUGGUGGCGCAUGCCUGUAAUCCCAGCAACUUGGGAGGCUGAGGCAGGAAUAUUGCAAGUUCAAGGCCAGCCUUAG